GAAGGCAUAAGUCAGUGGUAGACUGUGUGCUUAGCAAGCUCAAGGUCGCGGGUUCAAUCCCCAGUACUUCCA
rnacentral:tRNA from 1 species